rnacentral:rRNA from 1 species
AUUGAACGCUGGCGGCAUGCUUUACACAUGCAAGUCGAACGGCAGCGCGGGCUUCGGCCUGGCGGCGAGUGGCGAACGGGUGAGUAAUACAUCGGAACGUGCCCAGUAGUGGGGGAUAGCUCGGCGAAAGCCGGAUUAAUACCGCAUACGACCUGAGGGUGAAAGCGGGGGAUCUUCGGACCUCGCGCUAUUGGAGCGGCCGAUGGCAGAUUAGCUAGUUGGUGGGGUAAAGGCCUACCAAGGCGACGAUCUGUAGCUGGUCUGAGAGGACGACCAGCCACACUGGGACUGAGACACGGCCCAGACUCCUGCGGGAGGCAGCAGUGGGGAAUUUUGGACAAUGGGCGAAAGCCUGAUCCAGCAAUGCCGCGUGUGUGAUGAAGGCCUUCGGGUUGUAAAGCACUUUUGGCGGGAACGAAAAGGACUGUGCCAAUACCACGGUUCGAUGACGGUACCCGCAGAAUAAGCACCGGCUAACUACGUG